ensembl:lncRNA
CUGCACUGAUCAAUUCAGGGUUUUCCCUACAAAAUAGUUUCAUUAAAAAAACAGGAAGAUCCAACUAAGAUAAAAGGGACAAGUCACAAGUUUUGUUUCACCAAAGAUCUCAAACCGGCUCAUUGCGAAGCUGUUGCAUUACGCAGGUCUCUCGUGCGUGUUUGCGUUGAUAAAUUAAUGUUUAGAGGUCAACAAUGAUUUAAUACCAUAGACACUUGUUAAGCGGCUAGUUAAAACUUGCCAGUUAUUUCAUUUUCAUGAUAAAUUAAUGUUGGAGCCUCUAGCAAGUCGGUAGUAAACUAAGUAAACCGCUGACUGACAGGGGAAUUGCCCGACUGGGCGAGUGAGCGGGUGAGAGAGGAGGAAAAAGGUAGAGAGAGGGGUGUGGGACUGCAAAAGGUGGUCCUCCUUAGGCACAUGUGAUUUCGUUCCGAGACCUACGAGCUGAAAGACCAGGCAUGAGUCCAAGGAUGGGUAAAACAUGUCUAUACCUGUGGAUAUAAAAGUAUCGAUUACGGAUGGAUUGUAUUGGUUUAUUGUCUUGCUGGACUGCUGGCCAUGCACGGGAAAUAUAUAUUUGCGCUCACGCCGCAAUUGUUAGGCAUUGAGUGGUGGUCAUGGAGAGACUGAGCUCUCUCUGAGUCAUUGUUGGAUGUCCGGAAUAGCUUUUGAAUUGAAAUCAUGCUAUGUUUUGGGGUCUAUGAAAAUAUCUCCUGAAAUGGAAAUGAAUAGACAAAUAUAGAUGUCAAUUCGGUAACCCGGGGUGUGGAAUAUUACGCACUUUUCCCUCAUGGCUUUACCAAACUCCUCGGGCUCCUCUGGAGCUGACAAGCCCAACCCCAGUCUCAUAGAUCUGGGAAUAUUCUUCGUGGACUCUGAUAUCAUAUUUGGAUUUACCAGUCAUCUUCUGAGGAGAAAAGCAAAGGUGGAGGGUUGUCCCAGCGGAGAGUCGCCGUUCCUUCUUGAUCUGAAUACCAGGAAAAUACUUCACUCAUCCGAGUAUGCGCGGUGUAACAGCCGGCCACCACCCGAGGGCGCUGGGUCGGUGACUGUCUCCGAGUCAGAGAGAAGGGACGGCAAAGGAAGCUUUUGCCAACAAUGUCAAAUUAAUGUGACUGAGCUGAAGAGGCAAGCGCUGGCCUUGGCAGACCCAAGUUCACUAACGAUUUGUGAAUACAUGUUUAACUUUACUUUGAGUCUCAAGGCUGGUUGUAUUUGACCCGUAAUGCUCGGUUUGCAUGACAAGGACAGACUGCCUUGGUUCCAACUUCCACUCAUUUAUUGCAGGGGAUAUAGGGGCACAGAUGGCAUGCUCAGAAUAAAGCGUGCUUCCACCUUCCUCCCAGUGUAGAUAGCUGUAGGCAUGCAGUGUGAUUCUGCAUGUUUCUGACUAUGUCCUGUGUCAUGACCCAUGCUCCAGCUUUGCCUUGUGGUCCUCAUCACUGAUGGGCACCCCUCUGAUGGUUUUAUGUUUGUACUCACUGCCAAUGUGCCUAUGAGAUAGUCCAGUGCAAUGGGUACACAUGGCUGUAAGACUUGUGAGCUCUGUAUUCCCAGCAUGUAGUAGCUGUUGCUCAGGCUGUGUUGAUUGUCAAGCAAAUAGCUGUUGGUCUCACGGUAAAUGACCGUUAAUUUAAAACACAUCCUGCCUUCCACACAGCCUACAAGCAAUUUAAAAAGUCGAAUAAAUCCCUGUAAUAUAACCUACACCAAUAAAUCCAUUAUUUAUUUGAGACAGUUCUAAAGAAGCAUAAUAUGAAGAAAAUGUAGUCUAUUUCCGAAUAAAAAAAUAGCUAUCCUUAUGUUAGGUCCUGAUGUGGCUAUGCCAAAUGGCUGUGGGCUACACUAGUUCAUUUAGCAGACAAGAUUUGCUUAUAAUUCCGUGGCAUUAUUUUUUAUUAUGUUAUAGUAUGAAGAAUACAAUUGCACAAAGCUGAAUAAAAUGUAGAUAUUUUCUCCAAAUUAUUUGAGGGAGUGCGCACAGAAAUAUGUACCCCUAUAUGCUUAUUUUAGAGUUAUUAAUGUACCUUUAGUUCUACAAAGAAUGUCAUAUGUAGCUAUAUGUUUCGAUUUUUAAUACAUCGUAAGGCUGCAUGAUGAGACUAAUGAUGAUUUUGAAAAGUUGCUUGAAAGGCACGAGCUCUGCUUUGUUUUUUUUGUGCAGGCUGUACACACUCCAAUAGUCACUCAUCCACAAUUUGACAAGCAUGCCUUGAUAAUGCCUCGAAAUUCAUGGCGGUAUCCCCUUCGUGGCAGUAAUGCACCCUAAAAAAAUCCAUUCAUUUUGUGGCCAGAGUGCUGUGUUGUGCCCUUCUCGCUGAGAGUGCUGCGCAAUCCGAAGCGUCUCUCACUC